rnacentral:tRNA from 1 species
CCGUGGAGCAGUGCGAUUUCUGCGCCUUCGGCGCUGCGGGCGGUGACAGUGCGCUCUGGUGCGGACUCAGUCCACGGGCCA